rnacentral:rRNA from 1 species
CGCAUCUGUGCAUGCAGCAUAUCAAUAAGCGGAGGAAAAGAAACUAACAAGGAUUCCCCUAGUAACGGCGAGUGAAGCGGGAAGAGCUCAAAUUUGAAAUCUUAAAGGGUUUCCCUUUACGAAUUGUAGUUUAAAGAAGUGUUUUCUGUUGAGGUUUUGGUAAAAGUUCUUUGGAAUAGGACAUCAUAGAGGGUGAGAAUCCCGUAUUUGACCUUUACUUUCAACUUUGUGAUACACUUUCAAAGAGUCGGAUUGUUUGGGAAUGCAGUCCAAAAUGGGUGGUAAAUUUCAUCUAAAGCUAAAUAUUGGCGAGAGACCGAUAGCGAACAAGUACCGUGAGGGAAAGAUGAAAAGAACUUUGAAAAGAGAGUUAAACAGUACGUGAAAUUGUCAAAAGGGAAGCGUUUGACACCAGUGUUGUUUUUCUGAAAAUCAAUUAAAGAACUGUUUAUGCUAAGUUGUUUAGACUUUAUCAGCUAACUGCUUAGUUUUGAGCUUUUCUUUAAUGCACUUUUCAGUUAACAAGUCAACAUCAAUUUCUUUUGCUGUAAAAAAGCUUGAGGAAGGUGGCUUGAGAUUCGUCUUAAGUGUUUAUAGCCUCUUGCCUAUGCAGUCGGAGAGAUUGAGGUCUGCAGCGUAGAUCCUUCGGGGCUAAAUGCAUUUGUGCUAAGUUAUAGCAUUUUAUAGACAACUUGUUGACUAUGAUUUGUCUUGUAGCUUACUCGCUUAUGUUAUUUUACCUACGCUUAGGAUGUUGAACGCGCACAGAGUCUC